UUAAAGAUCUAAUUUAAAAAUCCUCCUUUGUUUUACUUUUUCGACACUAACCGGGCGAGAGCAGGGUUGUUCUCGCGAGGGUUUAACGUCAUGUGACAGCUGCACGUCAGUCCUAAAUUGACAGCCACUGCUUAUAUUGCUGCUAAAUCGCACCUUGGGUAGCAGACGCUGUGGGACUUUGACGUGCAGGUAGGCUUGGGUGUUGUUCCCAAAGCGGUUUUGCUUUUGAAUGUCGAUUAUACAUCAAUCGUAUACCUCUAUUAAAUUACAGACAUAUGGUCGCUCAUCUGAACGCUGAAACGAUCUCUGUUUGUCAAAAGAGGAACUGGCCAGGUGUGUUCCAGAUCCCACCCCCGCUCGGAGUAACUGAAGGAUCUGGGACACAUUAAGAAUUGUCUGGUUUUUGUAUACUGACCGGACUGGCGAGCUAACCAUAGCGGAUUCAGAAAGUCACCCAUAAUCUGAGGAAACAUCUCCAAACCGGAAGGAAAAUUCAACCAACCACUUCACAGCUGGAACUAAAUGACUAUUUUUGUUUUUUCCCUUUCGUCACCGACAGAGACUUCCUUGGUUUAAGGAACUGGACUUUAAAGCUGUGAAACAAUUUGUAUAUAUUGUAAAUAUAAAUACACUUCAUUGAUUUUGCACUC